rnacentral:rRNA from 1 species
GUGAGUAGUUCUAGAGUUUGAUCCUGGCUCAGGAUGAACGCUGGCGGCGUGCUUAACACAUGCAAGUCGAGCGAAGCACUUUGAAGUUCUCGGACGGAUGAGUGACUGAGCGGCGGACGGGUGAGUAACGCGUGGGUAACCUGCCUCAUACAGGGGGAUAACAGCUGGAAACGGCUGCUAAUACCGCAUAAGCGCACGGUACCGCAUGGUACAGUGUGAAAAAACUCCGGUGGUAUGAGAUGGACCCGCGUCUGAUUAGCUAGUUGGUGGGGUAAUGGCCUACCAAGGCGACGAUCAGUAGCCGACCUGAGAGGGUGACCGGCCACAUUGGGACUGAGACACGGCCCAA